GUUAGCGGCGGACGGGUGAGUAACACGUGGAUAACCUACCUUUAAGACUGGGGGAACUUCGGGAAAACGGGGCUAAUACCGGAUAAUCUUUUGCACCGCAUGGGUCAAAAGCGAAAGACGGCCUUGCUGUCUCUUUUAGAUGGAUCCCCGCGGCAUUAGCUAGAUGGGAAGGGAACGGCUUACCAAGGCAAAGCUGCAUAGUCGGCCUGGGAGGGGGAUCGGCCCCACCGGAACUGAGACACGGU
rnacentral:rRNA from 1 species